CAGUUUUACACGUAAUGUUCACCGUGACCUUCAAGCGUGAAGGACAUGCAAACUGGCCGGCCCGUCUGCAGGUUGAACUCUAAAAUGGUUGCAAUAUAGUAGAGACCCUCUCAAAGAAGCAUCUUCAUGACACGGCAGCGAUCACGUGGAUGAGAAAGGCAAAAGAUCUUCGGCAUGCUUUCACAAAAUAAAUUGAUGUAGAUUAAAAAAUGGAUCUUUCGAAAAGUCAAAACUCUAACGAUUAACUUACAU